rnacentral:tRNA from 1 species
UCCCUGGUGGCUCAGACAGUCAAGAAACCUGCCUGCAAGGCAGGAGACCCAGGUUCAAUUCCUGGGUUGGGAA